GUUAAAACGAGGGAAGAAGCCACAAGUCCCAGUGCGCAGAUAGUGCCCACAGUGAUGGAAGAGGAGGUCAGGAGACGAAAGGGAAGGAAGGCAAGCAGCCGUCCUGGGCUCCGAGGCAGCUCAGGGGUUCUUUGAAGGCAGUUUGUGUUGGGGGAAGAAUGACACAGUGCUGGCAUUUACCAAGAAGUAAUGGUGGAAAUACACUGUGCCGGUUCCAGGACUGAGCCUUGAGAAGCCAGGCAGGUUCUGCUCUCUGAGGAGCCCUUUGCCACCAUGUGGUGACUCUUUGUCCCAGUUUGCCGUGGAAUGAAGGGUCUUCUGGGAUACGAGACUUUCAGUGCUAAAACCAGGAGAGUCUUGGGUACACCUGGAUGAGCUGGUCACCCUACUUCCAACAUCAGAGGGAAGUAAAGAGAAACUUGGUUGCUCGCUUGGUCAACAUUCAGGAGAAAACACUGCUGAGAAGCCAGGAAUUGGAGUCAGCUUCCACUUAGCUCUACAUUGGGGUUGUCAACAAAAAUAAUCCAUAACCAAUCUAUAAAUGAAAAUUUGGGAGAGUUUAUUCUGAGCUUAAAUCUGAGGAUUAUAACCCGGGGCCUUUCUUCCCUAAGGAAGAAAGGACACCAAAGAAGUGGGGUGCACAG
rnacentral:lncRNA from 1 species